GACGAACGCUGGCGGCGUGCUUAACACAUGCAAGUCGAACGGAAAGGCCCCUUUGGGGGUACUCGAGUGGCGAACGGGUGAGUAACACGUGAGUAACCUGCCCUUGACUUCGGGAUAACUUCAGGAAACUGGGGCUAAUACCGGAUAGGAAUCCUUGCUGCAUGGUGGGGGUUGGAAAGCUUCGGCGGUUUUGGAUGGACUCGCGGCUUAUCAGCUUGUUGGUGGGGUAGUGGCUUACCAAGGCUUUGACGGGUAGCCGGCCUGAGAGGGCGACCGGCCACAUUGGGACUGAGAUACGGCCCAGACUCCUACGGGAGGCAGCAGUGGGGAAUAUUGCACAAUGGGCGGAAGUCUGAUGCAGCAACGCCGCGUGCGGGAUGACGGCCUUCGGGUUGGAAACCGCUUUCAGCAGGGGCGAAGCUUGUGGUGACGGUACCUGCAGAAGAAGCACCGGCUAACUACGUG
rnacentral:rRNA from 1 species